rnacentral:lncRNA from 1 species
ACUCUUCCAGCAAGGAUGCCGUCAGCAACCCAGCAGCCCCUGGUUCCUGAGGUGCUCUCCUGCAGGAAAGUCUUCACUUUUUGCUGCUGUGAACUCCCCACCAAGCAUCAGAGGAACCUGUGCAGCUUUGGACACUCCAGCCUUGUCUGGUCUGGCCACACAGUGCAGCCCUAAGCCCACGCCAUAAGAUGGGUCAGCAUGCGUUUUCCAGCCCUGGCUGCAGUGAGCCUGGUCCCCAGGCAGCAUCAUCCAUGACAACAUGGCAGGGCUCAGGGCAUCCACCUGAAUUUAGAACCUGAUGGUCCAAUGGGUCCCGCCUUCCGUUUCUGGGCUGCAGCUGGGAAAUCCAAGCAGGACCUGAACCCAUAUGAGAUCCAUCUUGGAAGCAUCAGUGGUUGACAUGUCAACUUCACAUGCACCACUGACCGUGCUGGAUGCGCACCUUUGGGAUGGAGAGGUGCCUGCUGUCUGCCCAGACCCCUGCUUUACAGCCGAAGAAGCUGACAGAGAUCCACCCCGUCUCUAGGGAAACCUGAGUCUGAGCCACGGGGUAUAGAAAACCACGUGUCCCGUGGGUGAAACCACUUCCCGUGAGACUUCGCCUUGGAGACAAGCAGUGGGAGCUUCAUGGACUGACUGGCUUCUACUUUGCCAAAGAAGAAAGUUGAGGUGUUUGACAGCAGGGGCAUAUGAAAGAAUUUCAAAGAAGAAAAGGACCUUACAAGCCGUAGUUUCCAAUCUUCUCAUUUUAAUACUAAUGCUCAUAUAGGCGGUUUAAUUGGUCCAAAGUCAUAAACCAGCCAGUGGCUCUUGGACAGUAAGGCUCUAUCUGACCUUUACGGUUCAUGUCACAUGGCGUUUCAAGCACAUGAUCUUGGCUUGUCGCAUCUGCCCUGUGACAGUGACAGAACCACUUCUUAGGUGAGGGGACACAUGAUUGGCAUCUAGAUCCUCAUCACUAAAUCCAUGUCCUCAAGUUCAACAAACUUUCUUCCUUCUUUGGGGGCGGGGGAGGGGGGGCGGGCACGGACUAUGCAUUCCUUGCUUUACUAGACAGAGGACAUGACCUCUGCCUCCCGAAUAGUUCCCUGAGGGCAGAUAGAUAAAGAGAGGAUUCCAAUCCAGCAUGAUGCACGUGGCGGCCCCUACAUCCUGGCACACACUCCCUUCCAAAGUGGAUGCUUCUCCCAGGGAGAACACGGUGGUGGCAGCAGCAGGAGCCCGUGGCUGAGUCAUGAGUGCAGAGGCACUCGCAGCUUUGCCUCCCAACUCAGGCACCACUCGCCCACCUCCCUCCCAUGCACCGUCACCACCUGUAGGCUUGGAACCAAGAAAGGCUUUGGAAACGAAAGAUCACGCACUAAGAGGAUGUUAAAGUGAAGCGCCCGCUCCCCCCGCCCCCCGCCCCGUGCCACCCGCCCCCAGAGGUAGUUUGUGUAUGUGUGUGUUAUUCCUGAGCCACGUGCUCCGUUUCAUGACACCAGCGCCUGGCCCUUGGCUGGGUUGGAGAGUGCUGCUUAUCCAGAGAGAAGGGCGUCUGCACUUGGCAAAGGACUCAAGACGGGCAGAUCCAAUUCUUCUCUCUCUCUCUUGCUCUCUCUCUCGCUGUCUCUUGCUCUCUCGUUGCCAAAAUAGAAGACUCUUGCUUUUAAGGGAAACGCGUGUGAAUUCUCCUUCCAACGAAUAACCUGAGGUUGCAGUUCAAAUUAAGUAGGAGAGGAAGACUGGGAAUCAGGAGAACUAGGAUUUGGCCCUGAACUUGCUGCUUACUAAAAUGAUCUCGAAUAUUGCUAACAGUUCUGGCACAUUCAAAAUUUUGUUCCUUCAUUUUACAGAAUAAUCAUUGAGUACAUGUUACAUGCCAGUUGCUGCGGGAGGCACUGGGAUAAAAAGAUGAACGUGCCAACCCCCAACAAGUAGGAGACAGAGUCCCUACAAAGUCAAGCACGUAACUAGGAUGCAGCUAGAAGUGUGGGGUCACAGGGCACACACAAGAGGAAGUGGGGCACAGAAGAAUGGCACUGAUCCAGUUCUAAUCCAGUGAAGAGAGUCCAAACAUGCCCCCCCUCACCCCCCGCUAAAUAUGUGUAUUGUUUUGAGCUGAAAGCACUUGGGAAACAGCAGAUAGAGGAAGGGCUCUCCCACCUCCCACUUUCUACCUGAAAGUAGGACACACAUUUUCCAUGAGAAAAGUGCCCUCCUUGUCCCAGAAAGAAGUGAAUAUUCUUUUUUUUUUUCUGGUUGUACCCUUGGCAUAUGGAAGUUCCCGGGCCAGGGAUCGAAUCUGAGCUGCAUAGUAGCUGCAGCAACACUGGAUCCUCAACCCACUGUGCCAGGCUGAGGAUCCAACUGAUACCUCCAAAGAGACAAGCCAGAUCAUUAACCCACUUUGCCACAGCAGCAACUCUGAGGUGAAUAUUCUUAUACCCAAGAGGGGAAGUUGACGCUGAGAUGAAUCUGUAAGAAUCUGUAAAGCGAACCUACUAAAAUAGCCUUCAUCUUUCCUUAGUUUCCUCCAUACCUUUCCUAGUCACCUUCCCAUAAUUUACUGCUCCUAGCCCCACCCCUUUCUCCUCUGUCUUGUCACAUCUCCACAAUGUGCUGGUCUUUGUGGAAAUGACAUCUGAGCUUUCAGGCCUAUCUCCUUCUUUGCAUCUUCUUUUCUAGGAAGGCUCCUGUGUCAUGUAAAAAUAUUAACAUCAAAUCAAAUGUGUUGCUUCCCUCUUGCUGAUUUGUCUUUGGUCAGUUUAAUUCUCAGGCCCAGUCACAGAACUUAAGAGGGCAGGGGAAAGUCUUUCCUGCUCCAUACCCCUUUUUGCUCUGUCCUGCAAGGAUGGCCUGCAUGGACCACAGCAGCAAGGCCCUCGUUGGCGUCCAUCAAUGGGGAGCACUUGAGGAGGUCAGAGGGAGAGGAAAGGAGGUCGGGGGUAUCUAUCCCCCCGCCCCCGGGAGGAUGGCUCAACUGAAAGUCACCACUCGUCCUCAGCUGAGCUACUCUCCAGCUCACCCUCUCCCUGGGGACAGCUCUGCAACUGCUAGCCCCAGCUCCUGAGGGUCCACUUAACUCCACCCGCAAGUUCAUAAUUAGUCCCCUGUACGUAAACUCUCCUUUAAUCUAGACUCAUCAGAGAGUACCAUCUGUUUCCUGCCGAGACCCUGACUAAUAGAGACAUGAAACCCACUUUUGAGAUGUGUGCACACUGGAGGGAGGCGGGGCGGGAGAAGCAAGAUGAAGAGAAGGAAGGGACAGGACAGGAGAACAGGAACGUGUCUCAGAGAAAAAAAAAAGCUACGCUUUUUGAAAGUUAUCUUGCAGUUCAGGAGCUCGGAAGCGAUCCUGGAGGCAGUGGUGGGACAUCACUGCAGGACCUGCUCCGGAGAAGAGGACUGCCCUCACAGCUGCAUCGCGCAAGAUGACUGACGAGCAGCGUGGGAGAAAGCAGGGCUGGGAACAGGAAGAUUGGUCGGCGGAGGGAGAAGAGAAAAAGACAGUGGUCCUGAUGUUCUCAAGGCCCUGGUGGAUGCGAAAACUUCUGGCUGCCCUUUCCAAGCCCACCAAAGACAGGCUGGAAGGAUGGGCUGUGAACUCCGAACGAAGCUGCAAACGCGUGUGAAUCCCAAGCUCCCAGGUUUAACAGGUAAAAGUUAUUACCAGUGCACAGCUCCCAGCCUUCACUGCUCACAGUCAGGGAGCUGCUGAAGUAGAGCCCGGAUGGCAUCUCACUGGGGGAAGCCUGGGAGACUCAUGCCUGGGACAGGGGAAAGUCAGAUGGCAUCUCAGUCUCCAUGGACUUUGUGACUACAUUUUCUGGAUCUUCCCAAGAUGGGGAAUUUGCAGUGUGCAGGCUCCUGCCUCCAGAUCAACCCUAGAGAAGCCAGAGAAGCAAGAGGGGAAGAUUCCGGGAAGGGAGAAUGACAAUGACCACGCAGACCUGCUGCGUGCAGUUAUCAAGCCCACUUUACAGAUGAGAAAACGGAGACACGAACACUGGUUAAGCAAUCGGCCUGCAAUUGAUGACAGGCAGUGGUGGGAUUUGAACCCAAGCAGUGUGAGUCCAGCCUGGAACAUUGUACCCGCCGCCCUCUGGCUGGAUCAGGGAGCCCAGCAGAAGGGGAAAUGCGAGGAUGAAGGCCGCAAGAGAGGGAAACUUGGGAGCUCUUCCCGAAGCCUGUGGAACGGAUGAAGGGAGGGAAGAUAGAACACGAAAGCCAAGAAAUAAAGGGGAUGCAGUCAGAGGGGCAAUGUGCGGAGUGGAGAGACCCGGAACGAGGAACCGAGGAGGAAAAUGGGACAACUCCAUCGUCCCUAAACCCACUGCUUACGGAAGGCCCAACCCCGCUCCUGACCUGACAAGGGUGUGCGUUCCAGAGCCCACCCCCUCUGCCCGUCCUCCACCUGCCAGCGGUGGGCGACUUGUCAACAAAACCCCGAACCCCGACGUGGCCGUCCUGCUGGCUCUCACGGAGGAGGUCUCCCCGUCCAAGUCCGGCCCUCCGGGGUGGGAGAAACGGAGGGGAAAGCAGAGCCCCGUACGGGAGGCAGAGCGGCCUCCUCUGCGAUGCAGCUGAGAGCCAGACAGAGACGAUGGAGGGGCCUCUGGUCCUGAACCGUCUUUACUGGCGCCACGGACACGGCCGUUGGCUUCCCAGUCGUCCGUGGCUGGUGAGGCCCACAGCAGCAGGGCCGAGGAGCCGCGACAGAGACGGGCCGGCCCACAAAGAGGACACCUUAUUUACUAGCUGGCUCUUGACAGAAAACAUCAGCUGACCCCUGACCUAGGUUAGGGCUUCUCAGUCAAGAUGUGGCAGGACAUUUUAUCCCUUGCUGUCCCCAUCCGUCCAUCCCACCCCCGCGGGCUCCUCGCUGGGAUUCACCCUCACCUGCGGCCCCCUGGGGGGACGUGCGGCUGCUUGGUUUGCACCUGAGCAGGGAGAGGGCGGUUUCUUCUCCUCUUUUAGGGAAAAGCUGUCAACAACCAGAGGACAGUUCCCUCAGCCCCCAGUUCACUUAGGGAGAGCGAGAACUUGACCUACUGCUCAAGGGAAAAAAAAAAAAAAAACACACACACCUGGAGUCGGGGCUGAGGGCAAGAGGGGCUCUCUCUGCGGGAGAGGGGGUGUCUGUCCGCCUGGCCUGGACCCCCCACCCCCCCACCCCUGCAGAGAUAAGGUUUCUCAGCAGAGGAGGCGGCCCCUUCCUGCAGAGGUUCCUGACUUGGCUGCAGUGUUCGGUGUUGCUGACACGCUUUUCUGCUUCUCAAGUUAUCCGAGCACAGGCUGAGUUGGGGGGGAGGGGGGGAGAGGGGCCGGGGUGCCCGGCCAGACGCAGCCUUCCUCAAAUUAGGUCACUCUACGUUGAGGUCACGUGAAACCAAGGACCCUUUUCCAGGCUUCCUGACAUUGGCACGGCUCCCUGUGCCAUCUCUGGAAUGCAGGGCGGUGAACACUGCAGAGCAGGGCACCACACGUGCAGAGAAGCGUGAGGCACGGAACCGCGCUGGGGGAGAAGCACUGACGUCCACUCUCUGCAGAAUGACGCUGGAGACGUGGACGCAUCUGCCCCUGGCUCUGAGUCUCCCCGCUGACCUGGCCUGUCUUUCUAACUCCCACGUUUAUUCCCGGGCCGCCCUAUCCUCCGAGAGCGACCACACACGGGGGCCUACGUGCCCACCUGGCCGACAGCAUAAAGCUCAAAGCCUGACUCUCCGCACGCCCUGCCCUUCCUCCCCUCUCCAGCAAGUCCUUACUCCCUGCACUGCCUCAGUGACGCUUCUGUGUGGCUCCAUAAGGGACCAGGAACUUAAAGAUGGAAGAGGACCGUUGCAGAGAUUUACUUAGGGUCCCCGAGCAAGCCGGCUGCUGAGGGGCGCUGCAAGCCAGGUUUUCUGGGGCGCCCCCACUGCAUCACACCUGUCGGCCUCUGGCCGCUGCGCUCCGAGCAUCUCCGUACGCCUGGCGGUUGAAUGGCAGGCAGAGUGGACGCUCCCUGAGAGCAGGGAGUCUGCGGGUCACGCUCUGCGACAUCCCUGUUACAGGCACUCCACACCUGCCUGUCCGGUGACGGUCUCUAGGCCGGCCUCAUCACCGCCUCAUCCCCGUCCACGUGACUUGUUUCCCUUCCUUUUUCUUUUGUCCUCUUAGGGCCGCAACCACGGCAUAUGGUGGUUCCCAGGCUAGGGGUCCGAUCAGCACUACAAUUGCCGGCCUACACCACAGCUCACAGCCACUCGGAAUCUGAGCCAUGUCUCCAACCUACACCAAAGCUCACGGCAACACCGGAUCCUUAACCCACCGAGCGAGGCCAGGGAUCGAACCUGCAUCCUCGUGGAUGCUAGUCACAUGCGUUUCCACGGAGCCACGACAGGAACGCCUCCCUUUCAUUCUUUAGAGGGCCAGAUUGUGGUUUUUCUUUAAUGUGGGGUCAAGCUGGUGACCUCAACCUCUGCCUCCCAGGGCCUUAAAUGGAAAUAACAUCCUGAGCGUAAGGUGAGCCCCAGGUCCAGCACGCGCGGCUCCUUCUUUGGCUUCCCUGCUGUCAGGAUGUCUCCUUUCAUGCUUGGGCAUCGCUGACUCCACUGUUGACAUUCUGCCUCACUCAGCAGCUCCAUCUGGUCGUCAGAUCCCUCCUCCCUGUUUGAAUUCUGUAUCUAUGUGUUUAAGUAAAGCCAGAAAAC